AGAGUUUGAUCCUGGCUCAGAGUGAACGCUGGCGGCGUGGAUUAGGCAUGCAAGUCGAGCGAUUCUUGUUGAACAUUUGUUGGAGUGCUUGCACAAAGAUGAAUGUUUGACGCGGAAUAGCGGCAAACGGGUGAGUAACACGUGAGAAAUUUUCCCUAAAGUCGAACAUAGCUUCGUGAAAACGAGGGUAAUAUUCGAUAUGGUGCUUUGGUCGCAUGACCGAAGCAUUAAAGGUGGGGACCCUUCGGGGCCUACUGCUUUUGGAUGAUCUCGCGUCCUAUCAGCUUGUUGGUGAGGUAACGGCCCACCAAGGCAUUUGACGGGUAGCUGGUCUGAGAGGAUGGUCAGCCACACUGGGACUGAGACACUGCCCAGACUUCUACGGAAGGCUGCAGUCGAGAAUCUUUAGCAAUGGACGGAAGUCUGACUAUGCGACGCCGCGUGCAGGAUGAAGGUUUUCGGAUCGUAAACUGCUUUUGUCAGGAAAGAAUAUUCCACCUUAUAACACAUGGUGGAAUUGACGGUACCUAC
rnacentral:rRNA from 1 species